UACGAAGGGGGCUAGCGUUGCUCGGGAUGACUGGGCGUACAGGGCGCGUAGGCGGUUCACACAGUCAGGCGUGAAAUUCCUGGGCUUAACCUGGGGGCUGCGUUUGAUACGUGUGGGCUUGAGGGUGGAAGAGGCUCGUUGACUUCCCAGUGUAGAGGUGAAAUUCGUAGAUAUUGGGAAGAACACCGGUGGCGAAGGUGGCGGGCUAGUCCAUUUCUGACGCUGAGGCGCGAAAGCGUGGGGAGCAAUCAGG
rnacentral:rRNA from 1 species